GACGAACGCUGGCGGCGUGCUUAACACAUGCAAGUCGAACGGAAAGGCCCUGCUUUUGUGGGGUGCUCGAGUGGCGAACGGGUGAGUAACACGUGAGUAACCUGCCCUUGACUUUGGGAUAACUUCAGGAAACUGGGGCUAAUACCGGAUAGGAGCUCCUGCUGCAUGGUGGGGGUUGGAAAGUUUCGGCGGUGGGGGAUGGACUCGCGGCUUAUCAGCUUGUUGGUGGGGUAGUGGCUUACCAAGGCGUUGACGGGGAGCCGGCCUGAGAGGGUGACCGGGCACAGUGGGACUGAGAUACGGCCCAGACGGCGACGGGAGGAAGGAGGGGGGAAGGUUGCACAAUGGGCGCAAGCCUGAAGCAGGGCCGCCGCGGGGGGGAGGACGGACGUCGGGUUGGAAAAGCAGUUCGCUAGGGAAGAAGCGUUUUGUGACGGUACAUAGAGAAGAAGCACCGGCUAACGACGUG
rnacentral:rRNA from 1 species